GAGAGAAACUAGAAGACUUCCUUAAAGGAGAAUGGACCAAGAUCUCCACUACAGUGAAUAUAGUGGAUGUUGUACUGCCUCCAGAGCCCAAGACCAGAGAAAAGUUGUUACAAUAUUCCUGUCAGCUCACACUGGACCCAAACACAGCACACACACACCUCUCUCUGUCUGAAGGGAACAGAAAGGUGACCUGUUUUGGCACAGUCGAACCAUAUCCUUACCAUCCAGACAGAUUCACCAACAGGUACCAGGUUCUGUGUAGAGAGGGUCUGUCUGGAUGCUGUUACUGGGAGGUGGAGAGGAGUGGGGACAGGGUUGAUACAGCAGUCUCAUAUAAAGACAUCAGCAGAACAGGGUCAGAUAGUGGAUUUGGAGACAAUAACAAGUCCUGGAGUUUACAGUGCUAUAGUGAUGGUUAUUGUUUCAGACACAAUAAUGUUGUGACUAAUGUAUCAGGCCCUCAGUC